rnacentral:rRNA from 1 species
CCUACGGGUGGCAGCAGUGGGGAAUAUUGCACAAUGGGCGCAAGCCUGAUGCAGCCAUGCCGCGUGUAUGAAGAAGGCCUUCGGGUUGUAAAGUACUUUCAGCGGGGAGGAAGGUGUUGUGGUUAAUAACCACAGCAAUUGACGUCACCCGCAGAAGAAGCACCGGCUAACUCCGUGCCAGCAGCCGCGGUAAUACGGAGAGUGCAAGCGUUAAUCGGAAUUACUGGGCGUAAAGCGCACGCAGGCGGUCUGUCAAGUCGGAUGUGAAAUCCCCGGGCUCAACCUGGGAACUGCAUUCGAAACUGGCAGGCUAUAGUCUUGUAGAGGGGGGUAGAAUUCCAGGUGUAGCGGUGAAAUGCGUAGAGAUCUGGAGGAAUACCGGUGGCGAAGGCGGCCCCCUGGACAAAGACUGACGCUCAGGUGCGAAAGCGUGGGGGGCAAACAGGAUUAGAUACCCUCGUAGUC